UCAGGAUGAACGCUAGCGGCAGGCUUAACACAUGCAAGUCGAGGGGCAUCGGGAGUAGCAAUACUGCCGGCGACCGGCGCAAGGGUGCGUAACGCGUGAGCAACAUGCCCGUAUCAGGGGGAUAAUCCAUGGAAACGUGGUCUAAUACCCCAUAGUAAUUAUGUAAGGCAUCUUAUAUAAUUUAAAGCUUUGGUGGAUACGGAUUGGCUCGCGUGACAUUAGCUGGAUGGUAAGGUAACGGCUUACCAUGGCUACGAUGUCUAGGGGUUCUGAGAGGAAGGUCCCCCACACUGGAACUGAGACACGGUCCAGACUCCUACGGGAGGCAGCAGUGAGGAAUAUUGGACAAUGGAUGGAAAUCUGAUCCAGCCAUGCCGCGUGCCAGGAAGACGGCCCUAUGGGUUGUAAACUGCUUUUGUAUGGGAGCAAUAAGGGCUACGUGUAGUCCGAUGAGAGUACCAUACGAAUAAGCACCGGCUAACUCCGUGCCAGCAGCCGC
rnacentral:rRNA from 1 species